UCCUACGGGGCGCAGCAGUGAGGAAUAUUGGUCAGUGGUCGGGAGACUGAACCAGCCAAGCCGCGUGAGGGAUGAAGGUACAGAGUAUCGUAAACCUCUUUUGUCAGGGAACAAAGGCGGGGACGCGUCCCCGGAUGAGUGUACCUGAAGAAAAAGCAUCGGCUAACUCCGUGCCAGCAGCCGCGGUAAUACGGAGGAUGCGAGCGUUAUCCGGAUUUAUUGGGUUUAAAGGGUGCGCAGGCGGUCUGUUAAGUCAGCGGUCAAAGCCCGGGGCUCAACCCCGGCCCGCCGUUGAAACUGGCAGG
rnacentral:rRNA from 1 species